CCUACGGGAUGCAGCAGUGAGGAAUAUUGGUCAAUGGGCGGGAGCCUGAACCAGCCAAGUCGCGUGAGGGAUGACGGCCCUAUGGGUUGUAAACCUCUUUUGCCGGGGAGCAAAGUGCCGCACGUGUGCGGUUUGGAGAGUACCCGGAGCAAAAGCAUCGGCUAACUCCGUGCCAGCAGCCGCGGUAAUACGGAGGAUGCGAGCGUUAUCCGGAUUUAUUGGGUUUAAAGGGUUCGUAGGCGGCCGCUUACGUCAGCGGUAAAAUUGCGGGGCUCAACCUCGUCGAGCCGUUGAAACUGGUAGACUUGAGUGCAGAAGAGGAGAGUGGAACUCCAUGUGUAGCGGUGAAAUGCGUAGAUAUAUGGAAGAAAACCAGUGGCGAAAGCGGCUCUCUGGUCUGUAACUGACGCUGAGGUUCGAAAGCGUGGGUAGCAAACAGGAUUAGAUACCCGAGUAGUC
rnacentral:rRNA from 1 species